UACAGAGGGGGCUAGCGUUGUUCGGAAUUACUGGGCGUAAAGGGCGCGUAGGCGGCCCGCUAAGUCGAACGUGAAAUCCCCGGGCUCAACCCGGGAACUGCGUCCGAUACUGGCGGGCUUGAAUCCGGGAGAGGGAUGUGGAAUUCCAGGUGUAGCGGUGAAAUGCGUAGAUAUCUGGAGGAACACCGGUGGCGAAGGCGGCAUCCUGGACCGGUAUUGACGCUGAGGCGCGAAAGCCAGGGGAGCAAACGGG
rnacentral:rRNA from 1 species